AACGAACGCUGGCGGCAGGCUUAACACAUGCAAGUCGAACGAUGAUCCCUGGCUUGCCAGGGGGAUUAGUGGCGCACGGGUGAGUAACACGUGGGAAUCUACCCUUCAGUACGGAAUAGCCUCGGGAAACUGGGAGUAAUACCGUAUAAUGUCUUCGGACCAAAGAUUUAUCGCUGAAGGAUGAGCCCGCGGCAGAUUAG
rnacentral:rRNA from 1 species